rnacentral:ncRNA from 1 species
UAACCUCUGGCGAUAUGCGUGAAUGUUG